ACCCCCUGGCAAUGGGCAAAGAGACACCUCGGCGGUGGUGGCGCUCUUAUAUCAGCCUGGGGCAGAGCAGAUGCAGUCCUUUGUUCAUCCUAGCUUGGUGCCUGGGUUCGUGGCCAGAGCUGUUUCAUGCCUAGGGCACAUGA
ensembl:snoRNA